rnacentral:rRNA from 1 species
GAUGAACGCUGGCGGCGUGCCUAAUACAUGCAAGUCGAGCGAACAGACGAGGAGCUUGCUCCUUUGACGUUAGCGGCGGACGGGUGAGUAACACGUGGGUAACCUACCUAUAAGACUGGGAUAACUUCGGGAAACCGGAGCUAAUACCGGAUAAUAUUUCGAACCGCAUGGUUCGAUAGUGAAAGAUGGCUUUGCUAUCACUUAUAGAUGGACCUGCGCCGUAUUAGCUAGUUGGUAAGGUAACGGCUUACCAAGGCAACGAUACGUAGCCGACCUGAGAGGGUGAUCGGCCACACUGGAACUGAGACACGGUCCAGACUCCUACGGGAGGCAGCAGUAGGGAAUCUUCCGCAAUGGGCGAAAGCCUGACGGAGCAACGCCGCGUGAGUGCUGAAGGUCUUCGGAUCGUAAAACUCUGUUAUUAGGGAAGAAUAAACGUGUAAGUAACUGUGCACGUCUUGACGGUACCUAAUCAGAAAGCCACGGCUAACUACGUG